AGUGAACGCUGGCGGUAGGCCUAACACAUGCAAGUCGAACGGCAGCACAGUAAGAGCUUGCUCUUACGGGUGGCGAGUGGCGGACGGGUGAGGAAUACAUCGUAAUCUACUUUUUCGUGGGGGAUAACGUAGGGAAACUUACGCUAAUACCGCAUACGACCUACGGGUGAAAGCAUUGGAUCUUCGGACCUUGCGCGAUUGAAUGAGCCGAUGUCGGAUUAGCUAGUUGGCGGGGUAAAGGCCCACCAAGGCGACGAUCCGUAGCUGGUCUGAGAGGAUGGUCAGCCACACUGGAGCUGAGACACGGUCCAGAGUCCUACGGGAGGCAGCAGUGGGGAAUAUUGGACAGUGGGCGCAAGCAUGAUACAGCCAUACCGAGUGGGUGACGAAGGCCUUCGGGUUGUAAAGACCUUUUGUUGGGAAAGAAAAGCAGCAGGUUAAUACCCCGCUGUUCUGACGGUAACCAAAGAAUAAGCACCGGCUAACUUCGUG
rnacentral:rRNA from 1 species